GAUGAACGCUGGCGGCGUGCCUAAUACACGCAAGUCGAGCGAACAGACGAGGAGCUUGCUCCUCUGAUGUUAGCGGCUGACGGGUGAGUAACACGUGGAGAACCUACCUAUAAAACUGGGAUAGCUUCGGGAAACCGGAGCAAAUACCGGAUAACAUGUUGAACUGCAAGGGUGAACAGUGAAAGACGGUGUUGCUGUCACUUAUAGACGGAUCCGCGCCGCACUAGCAGGUUGGUAAGGUAAAGACUUACCAAGGCAACGUCGUGUAUCCGACCCGAGGGGGGAAUCGGCCCCACUGGAACGGAGACACGUUCCAUACUCCUAAGGCAGGCAGCAGUAGGGAAUCUGCCGCAAUAGGCGAAAGCCUGACGGAGCGACGCAGCGUGAGUGAAGAAGAUCUUCGGAUCGUAAAACUCUGUUAUUAGGGAAGAACAAAUGUGUAAGUAACUAUGCACGUCUUGACGGUACCUAGUCAGAAAACCACGGCUAACUACGUG
rnacentral:rRNA from 1 species